rnacentral:rRNA from 1 species
AAACGGAAGUUUUCGGAUGGAAGUUUAAGAACUUAGUGGCGGACGGGUGAGUAACGCGUGGGUAACCUGCCUCAUACAGGGGGAUAACAGUUAGAAAUGACUGCUAACACCGCAUAAUAUAGCGAAACCGCAUGAUUUUGCUAUCAAAUAUUUAUAGGUAUGAGAUGGGCCCGCGUCUGAUUAGCUAGUUGGUGGGGUAAAAGCCUACCAAGGCGACGAUCAGUAGCCGGCUUGAGAGAGUGACCGGCCACAUUGGGACUGAGACACGGCCCAAACUCCUACGGGAGGCAGCAGUGGGGAAUAUUGGACAAUGGGGGAAACCCUGAUCCAGCCGACGCCGCGUGAGUGAAGAAGUAUUUCGGUAUGUAAAGCUCUAUCAGCAGGGAAGAUAAUGACAGUACCUGACUAAGAAGCCCCGGCUAACUACGUGCCAGCCGCCGC